GGGUGAGUAACGCGUAUGCAACCUGGCUGAUACAGGGGUAUAGCCCAUGGAAACGUGGAUUAAUCCCCCAUACCAUUAAUAUGUGGCAUCUUAUAUUAAUGAAAUCUUCGGAGGUACCAGAUGGGCAUGCGUCCUAUUAGCUAGUUGGCGGGGUAACGGCCCACCAAGGCGAUGAUAGGUAGGGGUUCUGAGAGGAAGGUCCCCCACAUUGGAACUGAGACACGGUCCAAACUCCUACGGGAGGCAGCAGUGAGGAAUAUUGGUCAAUGGCCGGAAGGCUGAACCAGCCAAGUCGCGUGAGGGACGACUGCCCUAUGGGUUGUAAACCUCUUUUAUAAGGGAAGAAUAAAUGCUACGUGUAGCAUGAUGCCUGUACCUUAUGAAUAAGCAUCGGCUAACUCCGUGCCAGCAGCCGCGGUAAUACGGAGGAUGCGAGCGUUAUCCGGAUUUAUUGGGUUUAAAGGGUGCGUAGGCGGUUUUUUAAGUUAGUGGUUAAACGUCGGGGCUUCACCUUGAUUUGCCAUUAAUACUGUAAGACUCGAGUUCAGACGAGGUAGGCGGAAUAAGUUAAGUAGCGGUGAAAUGCUUAGAUAUAACUUAGAACUCCGAUAGCGAAGGCAGCUUACCAGACUGCGACUGACGCUGAAGCACGAGAGCGUGGGUAGCGAACAGGAUUAGAUACCCUGGUAGUCCACGCCGUAAACGAU
rnacentral:rRNA from 1 species